AGUGAACGCUGGCGGUAGGCCUAACACAUGCAAGUCGAACGGCAGCACAGAGGAGCUUGCUCCUUGGGUGGCGAGUGGCGGACGGGUGAGGAAUACAUCGGAAUCUACUCUGUCGUGGGGGAUAACGUAGGGAAACUUACGCUAAUACCGCAUACGACCUACGGGUGAAAGCAGGGGAUCUUCGGACCUUGCGCGAUUGAAUGAGCCGAUGUCGGAUGAGCUAGUUGGCGGGGUAAAGGCCCACCAAGGCGACGAUCCGUAGCUGGUCUGAAAGGAUGAUCAUCCACACUGGAACUGAGACACGGUCCAGACUCCUACGGGAGGCAGCAGUGGGGAAUAUUGGACAAUGGGCGCAAGCCUGAGCCAGCCAUACCGCGUGGGUGAAGAAGGCCUUCGGGUUGUAAAGCCCUUUUGUUGGGAAAGAAAUCCAGCUGGCUAAUACCCGGUUGGGAUGACGGUACCCAAAGAAUAAGCACCGGCUAACUUCGUGCCAGCCGCCGCCAUAA
rnacentral:rRNA from 1 species